UACGUAGGGGGCAAGCGUUGUCCGGAAUCAUUGGGCGCAAAGCGCGUGUAGGCGGCUCGGUAAGUCUGCUGUGAAAGUCCAGGGCUCAACCCUGGGAUGCCGGUGGAUACUGUCGAGCUCGAGUCCGGAAGAGGCGAGUGGAAUUCCUGGUGUAGCGGUGAAAUGCGCAGAUAUCAGGAGGAACACCAAUGGCGAAGGCAGCUCGCUGGGACGUGACUGACGCUGAGACGCGAAAGCGUGGGGAGCAAACAGG
rnacentral:rRNA from 1 species